UUUUGUUUUCCACUUUUUUUUCGUUAAUCUAACAGAUCUGUUGUCUCUCUAACCUCUUUCUUCAUCCCCAGUAACACAAUCUUUUUCUUCAUCCCCGUCUCUCAAUAUCCUUCUCCACUCAACACUACAGAUCCAUGUCUAUCAUCGUCACCUCUUCUCCACCCUGGUCAAACUUGCCGCACGUCUACUCGUCACGGAUCUCGACCUGCCGCCGAGCUCCCCAACUCCGCUGUCGCCAUCUUCCGCUUUACUUCCCUCCUCUCUUCUUCGUUGCUGGAGAUAGAUGGAGGAGCCGAGAUCGUUUCUUGUACGAGUAACACCUCGUCAUCUCAUUCAAACUACUUGCAGUCUCUUUUGAAGUAAGUUCAAAGCUGCUAUUUAAGCUUACUGUGAUACUGUAAACAAGACUGAGGAACAUAUUUGGAAGCGUAUCAGUGGACGCCGCUUCCUCAAUAAACUUGAGGAGAAGGAACGAGAGAAAGAGUCUGGAUGUAUUCUGAGAGGAAGGUGGAGUAACUCUGGCGAAGGAGACUGCUGUAAAGGAAGCGAAGGAGAAUUAAAAGGGAAAGAAGAAGAAGAAUAAGAGGAAGCUUGAGUGCGGUGGAGAAUGAAGAAAAACUUGGUUUGGUUGCUGUAUUAGGUUUAGAUAGGUUUAACUAUAGUGAAUUGGUUUAGUUAGGUUAGUUAAUAAACCAAUUUCUAAUUGUAAACAAUGUUGGAUAAUUA